rnacentral:rRNA from 1 species
GAUGAACGCUGGCGGCGUGCCUAAUACAUGCAAGUCGAGCGAACGGACGAGAAGCUUGCUUCUCUGAUGUUAGCGGCGGACGGGUGAGUAACACGUGGAUAACCUACCUAUAAGACUGGGAUAACUUCGGGAAACCGGAGCUAAUACCGGAUAAUAUUUUGAACCGCAUGGUUCAAAAGUGAAAGACGGUCUUGCUGUCACUUAUAGAUGGAUCCGCGCUGCAUUAGCUAGUUGGUAAGGUAACGGCUUACCAAGGCAACGAUGCAUAGCCGACCUGAGAGGGUGAUCGGCCACACUGGAACUGAGACACGGUCCAGACUCCUACGGGAGGCAGCAGUAGGGAAUCUUCCGCAACGGGCGAAAGCCUGACGGAGCAACGCCGCGUGAGUGAUGAAGGUCUUCGGAUCGUAAAACUCUGUUAUUAGGGAAGAACAUAUGUGUAAGUAACUGUGCACAUCUUGACGGUACCUAAUCAGAAAGCCACGGCUAACUACGUGCCAGCAGCCGCGGUAAUACGUAGGUGGCAAGCGUUAUCCGGAAUUAUUGGGCGUAAAGCGCGCGUAGGCGGUUUUUUAAGUCUGAUGUGAAAGCCCACGGCUCAACCGUGGAGGGUCAUUGGAAACUGGAAAACUUGAGUGCAGAAGAGGAAAGUGGAAUUCCAUGUGUAGCGGUGAAAUGCGCAGAGAUAUGGAGGAACACCAGUGGCGAAGGCGACUUUCUGGUCUGCAACUGACGCUGAUGUGCGAAAGCGUGGGGAUCAAACAGGAUUAGAUACCCUGGUAGUCCACGCCGUAAACGAUGAGUGCUAAGUGUUAGGGGGUUUCCGCCCCUUAGUGCUGCAGCUAACGCAUUAAGCACUCCGCCUGGGGAGUACGACCGCAAGGUUGAAACUCAAAGGAAUUGACGGGGACCCGCACAAGCGGUGGAGCAUGUGGUUUAAUUCGAAGCAACGCGAAGAACCUUACCAAAUCUUGACAUCCUUUGACAACUCUAGAGAUAGAGCCUUCCCCUUCGGGGGACAAAGUGACAGGUGGUGCAUGGUUGUCGUCAGCUCGUGUCGUGAGAUGUUGGGUUAAGUCCCGCAACGAGCGCAACCCUUAAGCUUAGUUGCCAUCAUUAAGUUGGGCACUCUAAGUUGACUGCCGGUGACAAACCGGAGGAAGGUGGGGAUGACGUCAAAUCAUCAUGCCCCUUAUGAUUUGGGCUACACACGUGCUACAAUGGACAAUACAAAGGGCAGCGAAACCGCGAGGUCAAGCAAAUCCCAUAAAGUUGUUCUCAGUUCGGAUUGUAGUCUGCAACUCGACUACAUGAAGCUGGAAUCGCUAGUAAUCGUAGAUCAGCAUGCUACGGUGAAUACGUUCCCGGGUCU